UUGAAACAAUCUUCAAAGAAGCUUGUUUUGGAUUGUUGCACGAGGUGGAAUGCAACAUUUUAUAUGUUAUCGGCUGCUUUAGAGUUCAAAGAUGUUUUUCCUAGAUAUGCAGCAAGGGAUGUAGCUUAUACUUUUUUGCCAAGUGAGGACGAUUGGAAAAAGGUUAGUGUUGUUUGUUCAUUUCUCGAGGAAUUUAAUGAAGUAACUCAUCUUAUUUCGGGAAGUGAAUAUCCUACUUCUAACUUGUUCCUUACUGAACUUUAUACCAUAAAGAAAUUGUUAAAUCAGGCAAGUUCAGAUGAAGGAAGUUUAUGGCAGCAAUGGCUAACAAGAUGAAGGCUAAAUUUGAUAAAUAUUGGGGUGAUAGCAACUUAUUAAUUUCUAUAGCAGCAGUGUUAGAUCCAAGGAACAAGAUGAAAUUGAUUGAAUGAUGUUUUUCAGAGAUCUAUUCUCCUGGUGAUGCAAUUGAGCACAUUUCUACUGUUCAUGAGACAUUGCGCAUGUUGUACAAUGAGUAUGUUGAAGCUCAUAAAACUACUGUUGGCAGCAGCAAUGUUCAAGAUGAAACUCAAAGAGAAAGUUCUAUUGGUCGGACUAAUUUAAAUGGAAGAGGAAAAGGUAAAGUAAGGGCACAAUUUUAUAGUUACAUUAAGAAUGUUGUCAGUAUUGAGCAAGUAAAAUCUGAAUUAGAUGUGUACUUGGAUGAAGGAUGUGUUAUUUGUGAAGAUGACAUUAACUUUGAUGCAUUGUCAUGGUGGAGAAUUAACAACUUAAAGUUUAGGAUCUUAUCAAAAAUGGCUUGUGAUGUACUAUCAAUUCCGAUAACUACAGUUGCUUCUGAAUCGUCUUUUAGUGCCGGUGGUAGGGUAAUUGAUCCUCAUUGUGCCUCUUUGGGAACAGAUACAGUCCAAAUAUUACUUUGUGCAUCAGAUUGGUUGCGUGCUCAUUAUGGAAUCAAGAAAAAAAAUCAAAGGAAAAGUCAGAGAUGAAAGAGAUCCAAUUUACUUAGUUGCUGUCUUUAUCGUCAACUUUCAAAAGGUUCUUAGUAGUAGAUAAUGACUUUUUCUAUUUACUGAUGCUAUGGAGGAGGAGGUUCUCCAGCGUGUCCAAGCUUGGAACUUUUGCUGCAGUUAAUAUGAAGAAAAACGUGGGUGUUUAGACUGCAAUUUUGUAAUCCUCUUUAAAUUGAUUCAAACUUUUGUUGUAGAGAAAAACGGUGUUAAAACUGUAAUUUUGUAAUUGGCUACAGUUAAUAUGUAAACUUUUUCUGUUAA